AUUGAACGCUGGCGGCAGGCCUAACACAUGCAAGUCGAGCGAGCGGCGGACGGGUGAGUAAUGUCUGGGAAACUGCCUGAUGGAGGGGGAUAACUACUGGAAACGGUAGCUAAUACCGCAUACCAUCAGAUGUGCCCAGAUGGGAUUAGCUAGUAGGUGGGGUAAUGGCUCACCUAGGCGACGAUCCCUAGCUGGUCUGAGAGGAUGACCAGCCAAACUGGAACUGAGACACGGUCCCGACUCCUACGGGAGGGAGCAGGGGGGGAUAUUGCACAAUGGGCGGAAGCCGUAUACAGCCAUGCCGCGUGUGUGAAGAAGGCCUUCGGGGUGUAAAGCACUUUCAGCGGGGAGGGGUUACCCGCAGGAGAAGCACCGGCUAACUCCGUGCCAGGAGCCGCGGUAAUUC
rnacentral:rRNA from 1 species